CCUACGGGAGGCRGCAGUGGGGAAGAUUUAACAAAGGGGGCACUCCGGAUUCUUGUUCUCAGCCCGCAAGCAGAUGGCACCCUUGUUGUGAGACUCUUUAAGCUAGGAGGAGUGUAAAACUCUAACUACUCUUACAUAAAUGACGGUACUCGCAGAAUAAGCUCCGGCUAACUUCGUGCCAGCAGCCGCGGUAAU
rnacentral:rRNA from 1 species